GACGAACGCUGGCGGCGUGCUUAACACAUGCAAGUCGAACGGAAAGGCCUGCUUUCCCUUGUGGAUUGCGGGUACUCGAGUGGCGAACGGGUGAGUAACACGUGAGUGAUCUGCCCCCAACUUGGGUAUAAGCCUGGGAAACUGGGUCUAAUUCCCGAUAGGACUGCAGGGUGGUGCCUGUGGUGGAAAACGAUUUUCUAGUGGUUGGGGAUGAGCUCGCGGCCUAUCAGCUUGUUGGUGGGGUAAUGGCCUACCAAGGCGGCGACGGGUAGCCGGCCUGAGAGGGUGGACGGCGACAUUGGGACUGAGAUACGGCCCAGACUCCGACGGGAGGCAGCAGUGGGGAAUAUUGGACAAUGGGCGGAAGCCUGAUGCAGCGACGCCGCGUGGGGGAUGACGGCCUUCGGGUGGUAAACUCCUUUCGACCGCGAGGAAGCCACCUGGUUGGAAGGGUGGUGACGGUAGUGGUAGAAGAAGCACCGGCUAACUACGUG
rnacentral:rRNA from 1 species